UUUAGGAGUAGCCAUGACUUUUCACGCUCAAUUUUAAUUGUUCGUCUUAUUUAAAAUUUUUUUUAUAAUUAGUAUUUCUGUUAUUAUGAGAUGAUAAAAUAUAAAUAAUACUUUACUUGUGACUUAUAUUUUUAAUUUUUUUAAAAAUAAUUUUAAAUAAGACGGACGAUCAAAGUUUAGCAUGAAAAACCAUAACUGUGUUUAAA
rfam:Oryza glumipatula chromosome 4, whole genome shotgun sequence.